GGGAUUAAAAGCUGGCCACUUGAGCCAGCAGCAGCAACAUGCUCUGGUAACCUUCCAUGGUGUGGAAGCUUUGUUCUUUUGCUCUUCACAGUAAGUCUUGCUGCUGCUCACUCUUUGGGUCCUCACUACCUCUAUGACCUGUAACACUCACUGCAAAGUUCUGCUGCUUCACUCCUGAAGUCAGUGAGACCACGAACCCACCAGAAGGAAGAAACUCUGAACACAUCUGAGCAUCUGAAGGAACAAACUCCGGACACACCAUCUUUAAGAACUGUAACACUCACCGUGUGGCUAUUUUCAUUCUUGAAGUCAGCGAGACCAAGAACCUACAGGAAGGAAUAAAUUCCGGACACAAGAGGCUGACUCCUGCGUAUUGUAUCACCCUGGCUACCUGGCCAACUGGCUUCAAAUUGGGCUUGACCACUGGGAGGUCCUGAGAGAAGACUGGAGGACAACAAGAGGCAGAGACUGUGGUAUUUCUUUCUUCCUACUGUGGGCCGGAUUGCUGGCACUGGCUGUGUCCUUCCAGGAACACAGCUCCCAAAGAGAGGCCCAUCUGCAUGGCCCCAGCUCUCACUGUUCUUUGCUAACACAACUUCCAUUCGUGCCUCUUUAGGCUUGGAAGUGGCAAAGCCUGUCCACUCUUGCUAGUCUCUGAGUGCCUCAUAUCCCUGAUUUUUCCCUUUUGCUCUAUCCACAACUCAGGAAGUAAUUUCUUCAUUAGAGUCCCCUGUACCACAUGGACUGGAUUCAACUUUCUGCUAUUUUCAGUAUUAAAUUAGUUAAUAUUUGUAGAAUGCUUACAAUAGUGCCUGACACAUAAUAAGCAUGCUUUAUGUUUGUUAAAUCAAUAAAAAUAAACACAUAUAAUAUAACACUGAGUCAUGUGUUCAGAGGAAAGGGGUGCUAUGUUUGUCCAGGCGGAAUCAAGAGCUCACCCCUGGUGUAAGAGUUUGUGGAGUCAAGGGGUUAAUACGCAGGAGAAAGAAAACCCCCAAGGUGACCAAAACAAUAGCAGCAACAACAAAACAGAGUUGUAUGCCAUACCCUAGUUCCUAAGGUUGCUAUUUUGGCCUCAAGGAUUCUUUUUUUUUAAUAUUGGUUAAACAUGCAUUUCAUUUUUCCAAAGUAGAAUUUGAAACUCUACUAACUCUACUAACUUUAGUUGCUCUUCCUAACUAAAGAGAGCAAAGACUAAGCAAGUAUGAGUAAAACAAAAGGAAACUUUAUUAACACAUCCUGGCUACCUUUAGGCCAGUAGAGAGGAAGAGGAGGAGGAUGUACAUGCCUAGAAAAGAAUAGGAAGUCACAGCCCUUGCCACUGCAGCCUGGGUGUGUGACACUGCAGUAGGCUAUGUCAAGGAAGGCUGUAGUCCCCAAGGAACUAGAUCUGCCUUGUCUUAUGGGAGAAAUGCAGAGCAGGAAUUCAGUAGUCUGGCAGGUCAAGCAGCAAAGGCCCAGCAAAGAAUGUGAGUCCUGUCAUCCAAGACCAUCUUAG
rnacentral:lncRNA from 1 species